UACGAGGGGAGCAAGCGUUGUUCGGAUUUACUGGGCGUAAAGGGCGCGUAGGCGGUCGUGACAAGUCACUUGUGAAAUCUCCGGGCUUAACUCGGAACGGUCAAGUGAUACUGUCGGACUAGAGUACAGAAGGGGCAACUGGAAUUCUCGGUGUAGCGGUGAAAUGCGUAGAUAUCGAGAGGAACAUCUGCGGCGAAGGCGGGUUGCUGGGCUGAUACUGACGCUGAUGCGCGAAAGCCAGGGGAGCGAACGGG
rnacentral:rRNA from 1 species